rnacentral:lncRNA from 1 species
UGUGACCAUGUGACUUGUUUCAGGUAACGAGAUGUGAGCAGAAACAACCUGUGUCACACCUGGGCAGAAGCUUUAAAGGCCAGUGCUGCCCUUGUUGGGGAAGCAAGUAUAGAUAUGAAUCGUUCCACAACGCGGAGCGCCCCCUGCCGACCCAUGCUGGGCGUGUACUAUAGCUCAUUGAAUCUUCACAACAACCAAGGCUCAUUUGAUGGGUGAAGAAACUGAGGACCAGAGAAGUGAAGCAAAGCACCAUCAUCAUAGAGCUUCAAGGGGCAGAGCCACAUCACCAAACUGUCUCCGACAAUGGCCUCUGAUCUGUCCUCAAGCUGAUGCUAUUGGUCAAAGGGACUAGGCCUACAUAGCUAGGAAAAAUUAGGCUCACCUGGCACUUAAAAACAGAUAUACAGUAUUGCCCUGAUGGAAGAUUGUUGACAUCCCCUAUCUCUUCACUUGUCCUGUCUAGAGCACUUGAAGAUGCUGCUAUUCCAGGCUACCUCAGCCCACCCCUUCUUAUCCAUCCAUUCAUCCAUCUUUUCAUCAACCCACUCAUCACAUCAUUUGUCCAUCCAUCCUUCCCCUAACCACCUACCCAUCUAUCCAGCUACUUAUUCAUCCAUUUAUCAAAUGGACCUACAUAUCUUUCCAUCCAUCUACUUACCCAUCC